rnacentral:rRNA from 1 species
AAUCCGGUUCACUUUAACACUGAGGCGUGAUGACGAGGCGCUACGGUGCUGAAGCAACAAAUGCCCUGCUUCCAGGAAAAGCCUCUAAGCAUCAGGUAACAUCAAAUCGUACCCCAAACCGACACAGGUGGUCAGGUAGAGAAUACCAAGGCGCUUGAGAGAACUCGGGUGAAGGAACUAGGCAAAAUGGUGCCGUAACUUCGGGAGAAGGCACGCUGACACGUAGGUGAAGUGAUUUACUCAUGGAGCUGAAGUCAGUCGAAGAUACCAGCUGGCUGCAACUGUUUAUUAAAAACACAGCACUGUGCAAACACGAAAGUGGACGUAUACGGUGUGACGCCUGCCCGGUGCCGGAAGGUUAAUUGAUGGGGUCAGCGCAAGCGAAGCUCCUGAUCGAAGCCCCGGUAAACGGCGGCCGUAACUAUAACGGUCCUAAGGUAGCGAAAUUCCUUGUCGGGUAAGUUCCGACCUGCACGAAUGGCGUAAUGAUGGCCAGGCUGUCUCCACCCGAGACUCAGUGAAAUUGAACUCGCUGUGAAGAUGCAGUGUACCCGCGGCAAGACGGAAAGACCCCGUGAACCUUUACUAUAGCUUGACACUGAACAUUGAGCCUUGAUGUGUAGGAUAGGUGGGAGGCUUUGAAGUGUGGACGCCAGUCUGCAUGGAGCCGACCUUGAAAUACCACCCUUUAAUGUUUGAUGUUCUAACGUGGACCCGUGAUCCGGGUUGCGGACAGUGUCUGGUGGGUAGUUUGACUGGGGCGGUCUCCUCCUAAAGAGUAACGGAGGAGCACGAAGGUUGGCUAAUCCUGGUCGGACAUCAGGAGGUUAGUGCAAUGGCAUAAGCCAGCUUGACUGCGAGCGUGACGGCGCGAGCAGGUGCGAAAGCAGGUCAUAGUGAUCCGGUGGUUCUGAAUGGAAGGGCCAUCGCUCAACGGAUAAAAGGUACUCCGGGGAUAACAGGCUGAUACCGCCCAAGAGUUCAUAUCGACGGCGGUGUUUGGCACCUCGAUGUCGGCUCAUCACAUCCUGGGGCUGAAGUAGGUCCCAAGGGUAUGGCUGUUCGCCAUUUAAAGUGGUACGCGAGCUGGGUUUAGAACGUCGUGAGACAGUUCGGUCCCUAUCUGCCGUGGGCGCUGGAGAACUGAGGGGGGCUGCUCCUAGUACGAGAGGACCGGAGUGGACGCAUCACUGGUGUUCGGGUUGUCAUGCCAAUGGCACUGCCCGGUAGCUAAAUGCGGAAGAGAUAAGUGCUGAAAGCAUCUAAGCACGAAACUUGCCCCGAGAUGAGUUCUCCCUGAGACUUUAGGUCUCCUGAAGGAACGUUGAAGACGACGACGUUGAUAGGCCGGGUGUGUAAGCGCAGCGAUGCGUUGAGCUAACCGGUACUAAUGAACCGUGAGGCUUAACCUUACA